rnacentral:rRNA from 1 species
AUNNAGGAAUAAAGUCGGGUAUGCAUACCCGUUUGCAUGUACUUUAUGAAUAAGGAUCGGCUAACUCCGUGCCAGCAGCCGCGGUAAUACGGAGGAUCCGAGCGUUAUCCGGAUUUAUUGGGUUUAAAGGGAGCGUAGAUGGAUGUUUAAGUCAGUUGUGAAAGUUUGCGGCUCAACCGUAAAAUUGCAGUUGAUACUGGAUGUCUUGAGUGCAGUUGAGGCAGGCGGAAUUCGUGGUGUAGCGGUGAAAUGCUUAGAUAUCACGAAGAACUCCGAUUGCGAAGGCAGCCUGCUAAGCUGCAACUGACAUUGAGGCUCGAAAGUGUGGGUAUCAAACAGGAUUAGAUACCCUGGUAGUCCACACGGUAAACGAUGAAUACUCGCUGUUUGCGAUAUACGGCAAGCGGCCAAGCGAAAGCGUUAAGUAUUCCACCUGGGGAGUACGCCGGCAACGGUGAAACUCAAAGGAAUUGACGGGGGCCCGCACAAGCGGAGGAACAUGUGGUUUAAUUCGAUGAUACGCGAGGAACCUUACCCGGGCUUAAAUUGCACUCGAAUGAUCCGGAAACGGUUCAGCUAGCAAUAGCGAGUGUGAAGGUGCUGCAUGGUUGUCGUCAGCUCGUGCCGUGAGGUGUCGGCUUAAGUGCCAUAACGAGCGCAACCCUUGUUGUCAGUUACUAACAGGUGAUGCUGAGGACUCUGACAAGACUGCCAUCGUAAGAUGUGAGGAAGGUGGGGAUGACGUCAAAUCAGCACGGCCCUUACGUCCGGGGCUACACACGUGUUACAAUGGGGGGGUACAGAGGGCCGCUACCACGCGGGUGGAUGCCAAUCCCUAAAACCCCUCUCAGUUCGGACUGGAGUCUGCAACCCGACUCCACGAAGCUGGAUUCGCUAGUAAUCGCGCAUCAGCCACGGCGCGGUGAAUACGUUCCCGGGCCUUGUACACACCGCCCGUCAAGCCAUGGGAGCCGGGGGUACCUGAAGUGCGUAACCGCGAGGAUCGCCCUAGGGUAAAACUGGUGACUGGGGCUAAGUCGUAACAAGGUAA